rnacentral:rRNA from 1 species
AUGGAGAGGAGGAAGAUGGAGAUGAUGGAGAGGAAGAUCAACACAUGUAAUGUUGGUAAUGACGAGGAACAAUAUGGUGUGGAUAUUAUGUCUUCCUACCCAGACUACGUUGACGAUGACUUGUCCUAUGCCAAGAACAUUGGCUACAUGCUUGCUGCAAGGGACACAAUUGGAACGACCCUGACAUGGGUUUUCUACAACCUCGCCCAGAACCCAAACGUUGUGUCAAUCAUCCGUAGUGAACUCUCACCUAUUGCAUCAUGCAAAGUAGCAGCCAGUGUGGAUGCCAUGAUGAUCUUUGAGCCGCAUGAAACCAAAUCUCUAAUCUAUCUGAGAGCCGUCUUGUACGAAACUCUUAGGUUGUACCCACCGGGACCUUUAGAGCGCAAGACGGUGGCCGCCGAUGAUAUAAUGCCAAGUGGCCAUGAGGUGCGCACCGGUGAUACCAUCCUUAUUUCUCUGUACUCCCUGGGGAGAAUGGAGGGCGUGUGGGGUAAUGACUGUCUCAUCUUUAACCCAGAUAGGUGGCUCUCGGAAGAUGGCAACAAUCUGAGGUAUGUACCAUCUUGGCAUUCAACUCGGGCCCAAGGAUAUGCCUUGGCAAGGAAAUUGCGGUUAUGCAGAUGA